rnacentral:rRNA from 1 species
AGAAUCAACGCUGGCGGCGUGCCUCAGACAUGCAAGUCGAACGCGAAAGUCCCCUUCGGGGGACAAGUAGAGUGGCGCACGGGUGAGUAACACGUAGGUAAUCUACCUUUGGAUGGGGAAUAACAAUCGGAAACGGUUGCUAAUACCGCAUAAUGCAGCGGCACCUAAUGGUGACAGUUGUUAAAGCGGGGGAUCGAAAGACCUCGCGUCUGAAGAGGAGCCUGCGGCGGAUUAGCUAGUUGGUAAGGUAAUGGCUUACCAAGGCUACGAUCC